AGAAAAGUGGAGCUCCUGGCAGGACGCCAGCUGUUCUCCCUCUCACUGACUUGCCCUCUCAGUUUGCCGCGGAGAAAAGAACGUGCUUCCCCUACAGUCUACUAGCACUCAUCUGCUAUCUCCCUACCCUUCCCCCUCUCCUGGAGUGCACAGCCUGACUCAUUAGUCACGGGCCAGGGCCGGAUGUGCUGCAAAAGGAGAGCUUACUGUAACUGAAAAGUAUACCUGAGACAUGAAACACAUACAGAUUUUCUCAAAGAAGUUUUACGUCGUCAUGUUCCUCAUUCGUAUGACUUAACAAAAGAGACAGAGAGUCUCUAUGCACUCAAAUCCCUGAACUAUGCACACAAAUUCCUGAACCCCAAUGGGAUGCACCCACGAGUGCUCAGGGAGCUGAAAGAAGUGAUUGCAAAACUGCUCUCAUUUUUAAAGAUCAUGGAGAAUUGGAGGGGUGACUGAAGACUGGAGGAAAACCAAUGUCACUCCAGUCUUCAAAAAAGUGAAGGAGGAAUGAGGAAUCUACAGGCCAGUUAACCUCAACAUUAUCCCCGGGGAGAUGAUAGAACAGCUUAUUUUGAAUGUCAUCUCCAAGCAAGUGGAAGAAAAUAAGCUUACCAGGAGCAGUCAACAUGGAUUCACCAAAGGGAAAUCAUGCUUGACAAAUAUGGUAGCCUUCUAUGAUGUCAUGACUCACUGGGUAGAUGAGGGAAAAGCAGUGGAUAUUCAGCAAGUUUUUUUGUUUUGUUUUGUUUUUGUUUCUGUUUUUCAUAGAAGCAUAGAACAUCUUGAGUUAGAAAGGACCCGUAAGAAUUGUCAAGUCCAAGUCUGGGCUCCUCACAGAACCACCCAGAACUCAGACCAUAUGAUGCAUCUGGAACUCUGUCAGCUUGAGGCUGUGACCACUUCCAUGGGGAGCCUGUUUUUUAUCGGUGUCCUCGUACCAAUUCCUGUGACCUGAUAUCCAUGCCCUAGUAGCAGCAUGGAAUUUCAUAUGAUUAAGUAUAGUUUUAGAGUAAGUUUCAUGAACUUCUGAAAAUUGAUUCUGCUGAGAUUUAGAUAACAACAGUAAGCUUAUCUGGGAGGGGUGCAGUCUUCCUCUUCCAUGCUCUCAUAGUAUCUGGAAUAUGACACUGCUUCCAACAAUAUCCUCAUAGGUAAAUUUAGGAAGUGUGGGAUAGAUGAGUGGACAGUAAAGUGCACUGAGAUCAGUAAAGCUCUGAGUGUUGCAAUCAGUGCCCCAGAGCCUAGAUGGAGGCCUGUAGCUAGCAGUGUUUCCCAGGGGUUGGCACUGGGUCCAGUCUUGCAUAAUAGCUUCAUCAGAUGCCUGUCUGAAGGUAGAGAGUGCACCCUCAGCAAGUUAACUGAUCAUACAAAGCUGGGAGGAAUGGCACCUCCAGACAGGUGGCUGUUCAGUGAGACCUGAACAGCCCAGAGGGUUGGAUAGAGAGGAAGCUUAUGAGGUUCAACAAGAUCAAGUGUAGAGUCUUGCAUCUGGGGAGGAGUCAUUUCAUGAGUCUGUAAAGGUUAGAGGAUGGCCUGCUGGAAAGGAGCUCUGCAGAGAAGGACCUCGAUUCUUGUGGGCAACAGGUUUGCCAUGAGCCAGCAAUGCACCCUUGUGGCCAAGAAGGCCAAUAGUAUCCUGAGGUACAUUAAAGAGAACACGGCCAGCAGGUUGAGGCAUAUUCUCCAUCUGACCUAUUCUCUCCUUGCAAAGCCACAUCUGGAGUUGUGUGACAAGAUGUGGGCUCCUCAGUUCAAUAAAAACAUGGAACUUCUAGAGAGAAUCCAGCUGAGGGCCACAAAGAUGAUUAGGUGCCUGGAGCAUCUCCUUUAUAAGUAAAGGCUGAGAAACCUUUGAUUGUUCUGCCUGGGGGAGAGAAGAGUGAUGAGGGAUCUUAUCAAUGCUUAUAAAUAUCUAAGGGAUGGGUGUCAGAACAGUGUGGUCAGCUGCUUUUUGGUGGUUCCCAGAGACAGAAUAAAGGGCAGUGGGUACAAACUGCAACAGAGGAAGUUCCAAAUGAACUUCUUUACUUUGGAGGCUACAGAGAACUGGAAGAAGCUGCCCAAAGGAGUUGUGGAGUCCUUUUCUCUGGAGAUAUGCAAAACCCCCCUGGACACUUUCUUCUGCAACCUACUGUAGAGAACCUGCUUUAGCCAGGGGAUUGGACUAGACGUUCUCCAGAGGUCCCUUCCAAUCCCUAUGAUUCUCUGGUUCUGUGUUAGAUUCACCUUUAUCAGAUGUGUAUCACCAGUUUGAUGAUCUCUCAAACAAAAUCUGUCAAAUGACAACAUAAUUUACAGUGAUAACAUAUGAAAUACCUUGUGACCUCAAUUGGUUUUCUUUGACUAUAAGUUUAACUAGAAUUCAAAUAAACCACCAGGAAACUCUCGUAUCUUUUUAGAGAUUUACCUAUUGCAAAAAAAAAAAAAUGACCUCCUGCUCAACUGUUCUGAUAUAUGCAUAUUAGAGAGUGUCUUUAAGAUAUUUUGAAGACUAAAAAUAUGUAUAUUUACUGUAGAGUUUUUGUAUAUCUUUUUGUUAUUAUCAAAACAAUAAAAAAAUACACAUUCCCAUUUCCAGGUACAAUUUAGAAUAUAAAGCAAGAAAGAAACUAUGUAUUUGAGGAAAUUAAGUGUUAUACAGUACAGAAUCUGGUACAGAAUUGGCACUCUGCAGAAGUCAAGAAUAAUCUCAAAACAUCACAAAAAAAAAAAGAAAAGAAAAAAGAAAAAUAAUAUUUACAAAGUUUUUUGUUUACAGUUUUGCAGUUUAACUUGCGUGCUAAGAAGUAUCGAAUCUAUAGAAAAAAAACGUUUUUACUCUGACCUCUUUCUACAUUGUUUCUGGCUUGUUUGCUUUGUUUAUUUAAAGCACAUCAUACAGACAGCUGAAAGUAGAUCAGUAAACUGUGAAAUGUCUCUGACAGUAUAGUAGGAAGUUCAUUUGAUGUAAUAAGUUGGAGUUGAAAGGUGGUUUUAUAUUUUUUCCUGAAUAUGAACAACUAUUGCCAGUUGCAACUAUUGAGCAUAUGGCUAACCAUUUUUUAUGAAUUUAAUAUCUUUGAUCUGAGAAUAUAUUUCAUCUACAAGAGAAGAAAUCAGACAUAAACAUUAGCUGCAGAAAAAAAUGUGACAGCUUGGUUUAGGGUGGUAAAUAGAAAUUUAUUCUCACACACACACACACACACACACAAAAGAUAAAUAUAAAGCAAGAUGUGCAUCUCUCAAUAAUUUCUUAAGGAAGAAAACACCAUUCCAGUGAUAAAUGAAGUCUUGCUUGCUUAACUGUUGAAUACUAUCAGUUUGUAAAACAGAGAUAGGUAGUGAAGUCUGUGUACAAGACAUUCCUGAAAGCAUUGUUAUUUUACUCUGAACUAUAAAUGUUAAAGUCUUAAUUAAAGAGCUAUGAAAAAGGUGUGAUAUGCUGAAUUAGUUGAUGAAUUGCUUGUUUGAUUAAAGUAUAAUUAAACAGAUUUGUUUUUAUUUCAUAUUCCAUAAAUGAUAAAUGACUCUCAAACUAGUUCCAUAAUUAAGAUACACAUAUAGUAAGUGAAGAGAUUAAUGUUUAAUUAACUAAGGUCUUAACUAUAAUACUUGAGGCGAUAUUCAUUAAGGAAAAUCUACAGUAGUUAUGCUGGGCUGACAGUUUUUUUUUUUUAUGGAGCUUUUGUAUCAAAGAUAUUGUGUAUGAAGAACUAGGAUAAUUUCUGGAACAGCCACAGGGCUUUUUCUUCAAAGAGGUCAUUCAUAGGUAUAGAUUUUUACUUUUUAUAAAUUAUACAUCUGUGCUGAUGAAAAUUUACUGAUUCUAACACUGGGUACCUUAGAUAGCUCCUUGAUCAAAUUAAUCUUGACCAUGAUUAUAUAACUGAAAUAAGAUAAUAUUGAAUUCACUUUUUUUUUUGAGUAAAGGUGAAGAAAUGAUAAAUUCAGUAAGAAUUUUGAAAUUUGGUUUCAUCGUGGUUCAAAAUGAAACCUAAGCAUCAUUCUCUACAAAAGUAAUUUUUUUUUUUGUUGUACUGUAUGGAAACUGUUGAAUCACAGCUUGAACCACUGAUUGACCACCUGAGGCGAGCACUGAGUCAGCUGCAGGGGCACAGAUGAACACAAUUUCACCUGAGUCACCGGAAGGGUUCCAGGCACCUGUCCAGAAGAGAAGAAGAACUACAUACCCCAGGGGGCUUUGUGGUCAGAGAGGAGAUACAACCUCUGGAAAAGUCAUCUGUUGUCUCUUUCUUCUCUCGGCUCUCAUCCUGACCACACGCGUCGCCUCAGCACUACUAUAAGGCCUAUGGCUUUCAGAUACUCUUUCUCUCAUUAUAUUUGAUUUAUUAGCUUCAAUUCUAAUUACAUUGUAUUAUAGUGUGUUACCUUGCAUUCCAAUACCAUAUUUAGUAAAUUAGUUUGUUUCUCCUCAGAUCAUUGCUGCUGGCUUUUUAAAUUAUUUUGGGGUCCCCUGUUUCCCUUUCCUGGAGGCGUGGAUUUUGUGAAAUCCCUCUGCCCUGCUAGUCAUGGAACUGGGCCGAACCAGCCCAUAAACCGUCAACACAUAGUUACAGAAUAGCCUUAGAAAGCUAAUAUUGAAAUAAUUUCAGUUCCAGGUGCAAUGUCUGACAGAAGCAGUGCAGAUUGAGAGUACAAGGAAAAGAAUAGAUACAGCAAUGUUUUCCUAGACACUUACAUUCUUCCAAAUUUUAUGAUCUGUAAUUCAAAGCCGUCUUGACCCAGAAAUGAUUUUUUUUUUUUUUUUACUAUUUAAUAGGACAUAAAGCAUUUUUCUUGAAAAAAUCUAUCCAAAACAUCUUUAAACACGUGUAAACUUCUAGUGCACAAAAUGUCCUGUGGCAAAUAAUUCAAUGGCUUAACUAUGCUUUGUGUGAAUAAAAUAUUUUUCUUGUUGAUUCUGAAUCUAGCAGCUUUCAUCUUUCACUGCAAAAGAGAGUAAGCAAAAUUUUUCCACUCACACUCCCAUAGAAUCAUAGAAUGGUUUGGGUUGAAAUGGACCUUUAAGAUGAUUUAGUUUUGACAACCCCCCUGCUAUAGGAGGGAGACCUCCCUCUAGACCAGGUUGCUCAAAGACUUGGACUUGUUCCACCAUUACCAUGGGACAGAAACCACUCCUCACACCCUCACCUAGAGCCUCAUGGUCCUGGCAGACAUGGGAAGCCUGACCACCUGUGAAGACUGAGGCAAAGCACUCACUGAGUACCUCAGCUUUUCCUAUGUCUGAGGAAGCCAGCUCCCCAUUACCUUUCAUCAGAGGGGGAACACUCUCCUUGGCUUGUCUCCUCCUUCCUAGGUAUCUGUAAAACCCCUUCUUGUUAUCUUUCACAUCCCUCACCAAGUUCAGCUCCAUCUGUGCCUUGGCUUUCCUCAUCCUAUCUCUACACACAGGGACAACCGCCCUGCAUUCCUCCCAGGAUACACAACCCUGCUUCCACUUCCUGUACAUCUCCCUCUUUUCUCUCAGUUUAAGCUACAGGUCCUUGCACAGCCACAACGGUCGCCUGCCUCCCCUGCUUGACUUCUUCUGCUGGGGGAUGGAGAGCCAUUGCACUCUCAAAAGGGUGUCCUUAAAGAGCUGCCAGCUUUGUUCUGUAUCCAUGCCCUUAAGGAUAGUUUCCCAGGGGAUCCCACUCAGCAGUUUCUCAGGCAGCUGGAUGUUUGCUCUCCUAAAGCACAGGGUCCUAGCUCUGCUUUUUGCCAGGCCCACAUUCUUCCAGAUCACAAACUCCACCAAGGCAUGGUCACUACAGCCCAGGCUGCCUCCAGUCUUAACCUCUCUAAUGCUCUCCUCUGCAUUAGUGAGCACCAGGUCCAGUAAGGCUUCACCUUGGAUAGGUCCAUCUAUUACCUGGACCAGGAAGUUGUCCUCGACAGACUCCAGGAAUCUCCUGGAUUGUCUGCUGCCUGCCAUGUCACCAUCCCAGCAGAUAUCCAGGUAGUUGAAAUCCCCCAUCAGGACAAGAGCCCACGAGUGUGACACCUCCUGCAGCUGAAACAAGAAGGCCUUUUUCACAGCCUCUUCCUGAUCAGGUGGCCUGUAACAGACCCCAACCACCAGAUGCUCUUUACUGGAUGGAUCCUUGAUUUUUACCCACAAGCUCUCAGCCUGACUGUGGCUGUUCCUCAGACACAGCUCUUUGCAAUCGAUCCACUUCCUAACAUAGAGGGCAACUCCACCACCCCUCCUACCCUGUCUAUCCCUUCUGAAAAGCCUGUAGUCCUCAAUCAGGGUAUUCUAAUCAUGCAAUUCAUCCCACUGUGUUUUCAUGAUAGCAAUUAUGUCAUACUUUCCCAAUUGUGCCACGGUUUCUAGCUCCUCCUGUUUAUUUCCCAUGCUGCACACAUUGAUAUAGAGGCACUUCAGCUUAGCUAUUGGUCUCAUUGCCUUCUCAGAGGGGCCCUCCCUAAUACCUUCAGGACAAGCCUGGGGUUUUCCCUUACCACCUCCCAAGGUGACAGUGUUCCAACAUGCUUCUCUGUCUCCUAGUACACCCCCUUCCCCCAUCAUGUCUAGUUUAAAGCCCUGCUAACCAGCUGAGCCAGCUUGUUCCCAAGAAUAUUUGUGGCCCCUCUAGUCAGUUGGCUCUCAUCCACUGUCAGCAUUCCCCCUUUCUCAAGGCUGCGUCCCAAGCCAUAGUACCCAAAGCCCUGAGCAUGACACCAUUUGCAAAGCCAUUCAUUCAGUGUGUCCACCCUCUUCCUUUUGUGCAGAUCCCAGUCACCAACUGAGAGGACAGAGGAGAACACAACUUGUGCUCCCAAUCCCCUUAGAAGUCUUCCCAGAGCCCUGAAGUCCCUUUUGAUUGCCCAAGGACUUCUUUUGCCUACCUCUUCCUUUCCAAUGUGAAAAACCAGUAAUGGAUAAUAAUAAUCAGAGGGCUUAAUGAAGUGAGUGAUGUUCCUAGCACCAUCUCUCACCUGGGCACCAGGCAGGCAACACACCUUCCUGUGGGAUGGAUCCAAGCGGCAUAUUGGGCCCUCGGUUCCCCUCAGAAGGGAGUCCCCUAUGAUGACAUCCCUUCUUUUUUUCCUGACUGACAUAGCAAAACAGCAAGCAGACUGACUAGCAUUGGUCAACCUCUCCUGCACAGAUGGAUUUUCACCAACAUCCACAGCCCCCAGUCCCUCCAGCUCCAGAGCCUCAUACCUGUUACGUAAGGGCACCUGGGAAGGUGGGACAGGCUGAGGGGCAGUCCACUUGUUGCCCCAAACAGGGACUUGUUUCCAUCCCUUGCUGCAUUUGAGGUCGUCCCCUUCCCACCUGACUGUGAGACAGCAGAUGAUCCCCCACUGCUUGAAGAGCAUCUUCCCCCACACCCUUCCUGUAGGGAUGGCAGAGUGCAACUCCAUCAACCAAUCCCCUUCUCACAAUCCCAGAUGCUCCUUAGCCUUUCUAUUUCCUCCUUUAGCUCUACCACCAGGCUGAGCAGAUCCUCCACCUGCUCACACCGCACACAGGUGGUAUCCCGGCUGCCCUCCUGUACCAGUGACAGGACCAGGCAUUCUCCACAGCCUGAGACCUGAACUGCAGCAUGGACAUUCAUGCUUUCAGUCUGAGUCUCCACGUUCCUUUAGCAACAGCUCACCUCCAUAUGGUGACCAUGGUUGAAACUUGGUGUGUCCAGAGAGCAUUGACCUGUUAAGUGACCUGUUAAGUGCUAAGUGCUAAGCCCCUCCUAUACAGCAAGGUGCCCCGCCCUGCCUGCUCACUGAUUCGCUUGGGGUUUGCCCUGAAAAUCACUCUCAACAAGAUAACAACUCACCUCCCUGUGUAGCCAUGCAAAUAGGUGGCUUACUGUUUCAACCUCAGCCCUCUGGUCAUCUUCUUGGCCCUCCUCUGGACCCACUCCAACAGCUUGAUGUCCUUCUUGUGUUGGGACCCUAGAAAUGGAUGCAGUACUCUAGGUGGGGUCUCAGAAGAGCAGAGUAGAGGGACAGAAUCACCAAUCUCGACCUGUUGGUUGCACUUCUCUUGAUGCAACCCAGGAUACGAUUGGCCUUCUGGGAUGAAAGUGCAAAUUGCUGGCUUUUAUCAGCAGUUUGCCACUAUUCUUUCAGCAAGUGACACCCGCAAAUCCUUCUCAGGGCUGUUCUAAAGCCUUUCUAUCCCCAGCAUAUAUCUGUGCUGGGACUUGCUCCAACCCAGGUGCAGGAUUUUGCACACGGGCACUCAACAUUUAAUAAACAUCUGUUUUCAAGCUUGUAGGAAAAAAAAAAAAAAAAAAAAAAAAAAAAAAAAAAACUGGUACAGAUAAACUCUUAUUAGUACUAUUUAGCAUCUAAUUUAUUUACCUGUGCUGUAAAAGCAUCACAUAAAACAAAAUUGUUUCCUCUAAUUUUCAUCCAGAAACAUUCUGUCAUGAAGAGGGAAAAAAGUAUCCGUAUAGAUCUUACAGCACAAAUGAAUUCUCCUUCCCAUAGACCACUGGCCAUAGGGAGAUCUAGCUACUCACUCUUCGUUUUUAUAAGGUUUCAGAACACAAAACCAUGAAAAACAUAUCCUGCCUGUAUGUCUCUAUGUAUUUUUCUGAUCUUAAAUUGCUUAUCUGGUCAGAUGCACAAAGUACUUAAAAUUGCCUGUUUAAUCUGUUUAUUUAUUUUUCUCUUGUUUCUUAUUAUUUCAGUCUCCCAUAAUUAUUUUCUAUUCUUUUAAUUGCAUGCCAGUCUUCCUGUGUAUGAGGGCUGCUCUGAAAUUAAUGCCUCCUAUUUCAUUAUGUUGGCCCACAGCAUCAGAAGCAGAUGUUGGUGGUUUGACAGUAGAGGUUGAGCCUUCCAACCAAUAUUCCAUUACAUUUGUUGCUGCAUGACAGAUGGCGGCAGAGGGGUAGUCUGACAAGCUGAUAUCUGAUAUGGGCAUGCAUAUGAAGCAAAGGUGUGUCAUUGAAUUCCUCCACGCAGAAAAACUGGCACCCAUAAACAUUCAUUGACAUUUGCUGAACAUUUCUGGAAACCAAGCAGUGGACGUUAGCAUAGUGAGAUGGUGGGUGGUGCAUUUCAGCAGUGGCAACACAGACGUGAAAGGCAAGCCACGUUCUAGAUAGUUAUGUAGAUAUUCAUGAGUGUGGCAUACAGGCUCUGUUCAUCAUGGGUGAAAAUGCAAAGCUGUUGACUAUCUUAAAAAAUAGUAUUUACUAGCUGAGACUUUGUGCUAUCAAAUAAUGCUAUUUUGUCCUUUAUAUAUAUAUAUAUAUAUAUAUAUAUAUUUUUCCCCCAUGGAAAUAAAUAAGCAUUACUUUCAGAACAAUCUACAUAAUUUUAACCCAGUGGAAGACAAACAUAAAGACACAUAUUUUUUUCCUUUUCUUAUAUGUUGAUCAUUGCUGCUUAUUAAAAGCUAGAAAUAACUUACUUCAAUAUUACUCUUCAAGGUUACUAAAAACCAAAACACCACCAUCACACACAAACUCUGUUUUUGUCUUCAUCAUGUAAAAGUUGAUGCACAUGACAUGCAUGAACUUGAGCAAUUACUUCAUAUAGAAACCAUAUUAAUUAACAGAACCCUACAAUUCUGCGGUUUAUGUUUUGAGUUAUUGAUCACAUGAUUUUGCUCACAUGCUCACUAUGAAUUGCCCAGUAUAUCCAGAGAUGCUUUGACUGAUGCUUGCAUAAGUCCUCUGAUAUAUCUCCAGAAGGAUUUCAUAUGUAUCACAGUAAAAGAUUUAAAAAAAAAUAAAAAAAUAAAAAAAUAAAAGUCAAGAAGAUAAUUUUGCUUGCAUUGCUCUGAUUUCAGCUGGCAAAGAGGUUUUUUUUAUUGUUUUGUUUUGUUUGUUUUUCCCCAUAAUGUCUGGUAUAGCACACCGAUGUUUUAGCUGUUCAGUGGUGUUGCACAGAGCCAAAGAUAUUGCAGCUUCUUGACUUGUUCUUCGCUGCCAGUGAGAAAGUCUAAGAGGGUACAAGUAUCUGGGAAGGGACAGAACCAGGACAGCUGACCUAAGAUGGCCAAAGGGCUAUUUCAUACUGUAGAACAUCUAGUGAAAAACUAUAAAACUAAGAGAAGUUAACCAGGGGGAAGGGAGUAGAAGACUGCUGCUGAUCCUGACCAGCUGGGUAUUGGUCAGCA
ensembl:lncRNA